rnacentral:rRNA from 1 species
CAAGCCACAGGCUUCAGAAAACUCAAUCGAUCAGAUUGAUCCGAAGACACCUGAGUGGACACGCAGGUAUGGAAUUGUAGAAUUAGACUGUAGUAAUUUAUGGUCAUGCAUACCAUGGGGAAGCUUGAAUCUUGUUCGCUUGUUUUAGAAUUGGGACAGAAGUAAAAUUAGUAAACUAGUUGGAAAUGCGAUGGCUCGAUGGUCGUAGCUUGUAUGAACCUAGCAACCAACCAUCAGCUCGCAGGAAUGGUAGUCCGCCACCCGGGGACGACACCGAAUUGUUGGCUGCAGCAGUGCAGGGAUCUUCAACAUCAGCAGCUUCGGCCAUGGGUCUCCAAACAGCGACCCAUGCACUCGGUCCAGUCGACUUUGCGCAGCAAAUUCACAGGCGAUAUCCAAUGCAUCGGAUGUCAUCUCCAUCUUACUGAAGGAGCAGAUUGCAAGGUGCCAACGUGAAAUCAAUACUGCCCGCUUUAAUGUGCAAGCCGAUAUGAUUAAGUUCGUAGACAAACUAAUGGAUGCGAUUAGCAAGAGGUGCAUAUGUUGCACUGCAAGGGGUUUUACCGACUGCCCAGCUAGAGCUGUUGAUCUGAACAUUGGUGCCCAACAUGUCAGCAUGCUCUGGUAAGUACACGUCAUGUUGAUCCAUUCGGCACGAUACAACCAGUGCUACCUGCCAAGAUGCAACAAACUAAACACGAAUGUUCGUUCAUACAGCUGGCACCUGCUGGCACCUCAACUGUACGGAGACUCCAUGAGGAAACAACCCCCUGCCAGCAGGAGAAGAGGCAGCGGACCGAUGAAGGUUUGUUGUCUAUAAUUACCGAGCAAAUUUUAUCAUUUGUGAAGCAGACCCUUAAGGCAAUUAGUGAGCUCUUCAUCGACCUCCCAAAUGAUGGGAGCACUACUGUGUUCGGUGCGAGGAAAAAAGAGCUUCCUGGCCGAAAAUAUGUACACAGGCCUGGGUUCCAAAGAGAUCCGUGGACUAGGGGGGUCAUUCCGUAUCCCCCUCAGCCUGCUGUGUCGCAACUUCUAUCUGACUUUUCACCUCCGCGCCUCGCAAACAUCUUACCAGCAACUGCCUUGUUCACGAGCAUCCAAGGUUCAUACGGAUAUCAGGUGUCACCUUGAAAGAACAACUCGCAGGCGAGGCGGCAAUUGACCAUGAGCUCUUGUCAGUUAUCCUACGAUGAUAUUCUCAGGCUGACCAAGCAGCAGAUCAAGAAUCCCCGUAUUUAUCAUGGAGGCACCCACUCGAGCCCGACUUCUCAACUCUUGUGCUGUCAGACUCCGACUAUGUUCACAGUGUGUGCAUUCAGAAGCAACUGGGAGCUGAUGAUAUCAAGUACGACAUCACCUCAUCACAGAUGGUACGAUCACGUAGGUUCAUCCUUGUUACAUUUCGCACCAGGGUUCUACAACAAGGCUAGUUUUCAAUGGUCCCGGCAUAGACACGAUUCCAACUUUUUUCCUGUUUUCAGUUCUUCACACCUGUGCGGCGACCCGAAGGUUGGAUGGUACUUUUCUGGGACAUGGUCAGACGGAUGAUGACCGUCAUCGAUCCGAUGUACUCAAAGAAAUUUCCAAAACCUCCCACACAGCUUCGAGACGAAGCAAUAGCUUGGAAUCUAAAUGCUCGGUGUUGGCAAGUGCCACGUCUCCACUCCUCUGGUUCUCCUAAUCUAGCUCUCCGGUGAUUGUAAGCUGCGGCCUGAUGAGGCACUGCAGCCGGAUCUGCAGCAAUCUGGUUGCUCAGCUCAGCCUGGUACUCCUCGCUGGAACGCAUGUAUCCACACAGCCCCUUCUGCAAAAAUUAGAAUGAAUUAAGAGAUGCAGAAAGAUUAGAAAGCAUGAAUCCAGCUGACCAGCAAGAAAUCCACGAAAAAACGAUUUUGUGUAUAAAACUUUCAUCCCUAUUGACACACUUGUAGAAUCGACGACCGCCGUUUACACCGCUCCGAGCAACCCAAGUGUACACCCGGUCCUUGAAGUCCCUGCAGGGCACUAGAGGCAAGAUCUCGUCAUGGCCUGCGGUGGAGGAAGAUGAGGACAUGCCUAAGAAGCGUUGGAGCUAACAAUGGCUGGAAUCAGAAUCUGGUUGGAUCUGGGAGAGAGAUCGGGUGGAUGGGUGGACUUAUGUAGACGAGGAACGUGACGGAGGAGGUUGGUAGGUCCAACGGG